rnacentral:lncRNA from 1 species
AGCUAUUUUAUUUUUUAAUAAAUUUACAAAUUGUCCUUAUACUUAGGUUGCAUAGCAUGUGAUAUAAAAAUCAAACUGAACUUUCUGGAGAGAUGGUGAACAAGAUCAAACACACCCAAAGUGGGAGCUAUCCGAGAGGAGACUGAAAUUCGUCCAUUCAAUUAAAAUGGCAUUUAUGAGACACUAUAUGUUCACAUAAAAAUAGCAUCAGACACAGUACAGAAGCCAAAAGCUUCAAGAGAGAAGAAAUCCAGAGAACAAUGGAAAUGGGCUUGAAGAGCUCCCUGUUGUGCCGAGAACCUCCACUGUCAGCAUCGGGAGACCUCCAUCUCAGGAUAUUCCAAAGAUCUUGCACACAAGUGCUCGCAAGGUAGGAGCCAAUAUUGUUGCAAUGGUGUUUGGGAAAUGAAGGAACUGCAACAGCAGGAAAGAAUAAAAAAUAGAGUCAAUGACCA